AUGCUCGCUUCAGCAGCACAUAUACUAAAAUUGGAACGAUACAGAGAAGAUUAGCAUGGCCCCUGCGCAAGGAUGAUGCAAAGAAUCUAUGACACCACAGGGACAAAUUUCU